GUGCUGAGGCGAUGCGGGGAUGGGGAGUGGGAUUGAGGGGCUUAAUCGGAGCUCAGGGCAGGGCAGAGCAGGGCACACUGCGCGCCCCGGGCGGGAGGGAUGGAGCUAAUCUCAGUGCGGCUUUGCGGCCGCCCUCAGCCGUCCUUCGCCCGCCGAGCGCUGAGGAGAAGCGGGGGGUGGGCGCCCACCACACACACUGCGCUAAGAAACACUGUUCCGAAAGAAAUAACUCCGAUGUGCAAUCGGCUCCACUAGGAGCAGGCAAGCAGGGUAUUCCUUGUUCCUGUGUUCAGGAAACGGGCUAAGCGUAGCUCUGGAUUUGUUUCUUAACGCUUUUGUUCCGCCCUCCUGUUGGACGGAGACGUGAAGUAGUAUCGGGUUAGUGUCUUUUCCCGGGCUAAAGGAAAGUUUAGCAGUGAAUUAGUAGGAGUCCCUUUGGGAAUCAGAGCUUUCUUUCUGUUAGAGCAACCAAAGCAUAGAGAAAUAGCGUCAGCCUUUUAGUAUGGCACAAUAUAUGAUGGUUGUGUACAUCAGGGUGUACAUAUAGGCAGAAAGCCUCUGUCUGAAUAUAGGUUGGUGUUAUUCCUUUUCAAUAGAUCCAUAUAGACACAAAGCCACCUGGUUUAUCAUGGUUUUCUUGUAAAACAUGGUUAGGGUGUUCCCCAGCCCUGUGCACUUAACAUCCAUUUAUCCUUCCUCUUAGGUUUUUCUGUUCUGAUUGAUACAGCCUCAAUCUUUCCAGAGCUUUUAAGAAGAGGAACUCCAUUCUCCACAGUGCAGUAGUUUUUUUUUUUGUUGUUGUUUUAAUUCAGUUUCCCUUUGAUCUAAUGCAAUGCAUAAUUAAAUUGCGUGGUCUGAAUGAAAACUCCACCAUUACGUGUGCCCUUUUAACUCGCUCUUUCCUGUGGUUUUGUAAUGUCACUUCACAGUAGUGUUUCCAGUGAGUGCAAUGAAAAGGACUGUGUUUGUUUUCUACUUGUUUUCUUUAAUUAUUAGGUGAAAAUAAUGACUAUAUCUCUGUUGAACUCAAUGACGUGCAAUGAUUUUUCACGUUCAGGCAAUCUUAGUCUCGUGUUAAUGAACAAGUUCCCAUACCAUGUGUAUGGACCAGACAGAGAGAGGCUUGUUGUAAGAGACAAAUUAUGAUCUGGAACUUGAGUUGAACAACUGAGACAAGUCUAUUGAAGACCUUCUGUGCAGAGGAGUGUGUUUAUUGUUACUCUUGUGGCUGAGGUGUGCACAGGCAUUGGAUUAACCCUUUCUCUUCUUGUAACUUAACACAUACAUCUUCAGUCCUAGACAGGAGCCAUCUGUCUUGCAAUUCAGCAAUAUCUUUCCUUGUCUACCAAAAUAAAUCUGUCCUUCUGUCCUUGGUAGCUUUCCUUUUCCACCAGCCCUCUCCAUCAUGUCAUUUUUUAUUCUUAUCUUGUAUAUAUAUUUUUUUUCCCUUUCCCUCAAAGACCUCAAGAACCUUCUCUCCCACUGGCAGUUCUUUGGCAAAAAUGUCUGUUGUCCUGUUGCAUAUCCAGGCUAGUAUUAUGCAAUCUUCUGGCACUAGCUUUCAUGUAUCUUGUAUUUAUAAAUGCUUAUCUAUCAUCUCCCUAAUCUGCCUAUCCCUCUUUUAAUAUGUCUGUAUUCUGUAGGCCCUCUUUCCUGGCUCCUGUAUUUCCCAGCCAGAAUUCUCCUGGUUAAGCUGCCUUUGGAGUGCUUUCGAAUACCUCUGAGGUGUAAAGUUUUCCUCUCAGGUGCCUGAUGCUGCAAUGCCCAUGUGAAAGCAUCGUUUCACCUGUGUUGCACAAUUCAUGAGUUGCUGCAAAUACUUGUAGAGAUCUCAGUCCUGCCUUUCAUUUGACCCAUGGCAAGAGCUCAGGGAGAACAGACUCUUGUCCCACCAAUUCUUCUUUUCACAAGAGGCUUAACUGGCUCCAGUUUACUCAUUUAGAACAGGAAGAUUACAGACUUUGUAUGUUGGUAAAGCAGAUGUGUGGCCAGAAUUUAGUCAAAAAAGAAAGGAGAAAAACUGAAAAGGAAUGAAUGUCCACCAGCCUGGCACACAGCAAGGAAUUAUCCCAGGAGACUGUACCACAGUUAAGAAAGUAAGCAGCUGUUCCUUCUACCGUACCAAAACUGCUCUUCAGUUUAGCCAUCAAAUCGAUUUGCGGUGCCCAAGAUGCAAAUGCAUUUGCUGACAGCUCAUCCGAGACGUCUGCCAAGCGCUCAGCAGGUGUCAAAGAGUUUCAGGACAGGAGUCAUGUAAGUGUGGAACUCAGCUGUCAGCUCUGAAAACCAAGUCCUGGUCUCAGUCUGAGCUGUCAGACAUAUGUCAGGAGACAGAACAGCACAUACAACAUCCUUGCUGGGGGAGUUUGCUAACCCUACUGCUAACAUCAUGGAAGAAGAAAGUGCAACAAAGAUGAUUCUUACUUUCAGUAUUCCCGUGGAGGUGGCUUGCAUGAGAUCUGUCUCACUGUCUCCAGAAAGGAUAACGUCUCAAAAGCUGAAUCUCAUGGUAAAAGCAGCUAUGACAACUGCCUGCAAGAGGACUCUGCUGUCCAGAUGGAAAUAAGAGAUCUUCACUCAAUCCAGUCUGCGGUACAGAGAUGAGAAUAGAGGAGAACCACAAGGACACAAUACAAUCCCAUCCUCUCCAAACUGAGCCAUCCCUAAGCAAAACUAUAAAAGCCACAAGGAACAACAUUUAGAAUCUGUUUCUUUUUCUACAAUGAAGAAAAAAUAAAAGAACAAAAGACACUUGGGCAACAAAAUUAGCCCAGAGACCAAUGGUCUUGGCUGUGGUUUAAAUUAUAUAUGAACAUAAGUAAAUACUAAGCGUUCUGGAAAAUGCCUUUUUAAAAUUCAAAACAAUGUAAGUGCAGUAACAACUCUCCGUAUUGUUUUAAAGAACACUGCUGUAGUCUUAAAUGCUUUUAGACCUGUGCCCUAAAUGAGCUGUCGAUGAGUGUUAGUUAAAAUAUUCAAAAAGUUGUUGCCAUUUAAUGAGAUAGGAGCCAAAGCUGAGCCUGCCUUCCCGUAAACGAUAACUUUUAAUGCUGUUAAUGAAGUCAUGUUUUGCUAAUGCAUUCAAUAAUUCUCUCGGAGCAGGAACCGUAGCUUUCUGGAAUUCAGUCUAUAUUGUGGUGUCAUCCUUUUUGAUUCUCAGAGCUGCUUCUAAGUUGUAGAGUAGCCAUUAAGCUUAACAGCAAUAAGGGCUUUUGGAAAGUCAGUAAAGCUGUAUGCUGGAGAUGAUUACCAAAGCCUUUAUUACUUGAAUGCUUAGAAAUAGAGAAGCACUGCAAGCUCUAAAUCCCACAAAAGCUGAUUAUUUUCCACUUGAGCUUCAUAUACAUUGAUAAAAUGAUGCAUAUGAAAAGUAAAAAUGGAGUUGCAAAAAACAGGAUUUCUGAAAACACUGACCAGAGCAGGGUGUCUUUAUUCAACAAUCUAUUUAUCAGUUCUGAUCUACCUGAAGUCUUUACUUUAAAAAUAUAUAUUAAAAAAAAUCAGUGCAGCAAGCCUGAAAUCAUCAUAAUAACUUACAUUGUGCAGGCUUUUAUUCUCUAGUACAAACAUUGAGGCCGCAAUAGAAUACAGCUGUAUUUGAGAUAGCAAUCAGUGAGCAAACAGCAGAGCGAUACAAAGACAAGAUUUCAUCCAGAGAAACCACCAUUUCAGAAGGAGAUAAAGGAAGAAGUUUGUUACCCAUUCACAGUGGACAAAUUCUUUCUGAAUUGACUGUUUAAUGUCGAAUAAUGGAAGGAUGAAGAACUGAUCCCUCUAGAACAGAAAGCUGGGAUUCCAGUGAAUUUAUGAGCUCAUUACAUCCAGAAAUGAAGAGAAAAUGAGUCUGAUGUGCACCAAUAAACAGAACUUCUGCAGGUAAAGUAAUAAGUAUUUAUUAACUACUAAUUACCCAGUAGUUGAAGUCCCCAAGUCACUUUCCAGUAAGAUAAAUGGGAAGAAAUACAAAUCCUUUGCCAUUGUAUUAUUAUAUUAUUCUCCCACAAUGAAGUGAUCGAUGGACACAUUCAGAGACUUUACAAAUUAAAAAUGAUUCAGUCUUGCAAAAAUUAAUACAUAAAUAAAUAACUAGAAAUUCACCUAAUCAACGAUAAAAACCACUCAAACCACUUCUCAAACUUGGAUGACGUUACAGAAUACGAUGAGCCCAACUCUUCCAGUAGAACAAACAAGAGUGACUGGAUUGCCCAAGAGAGACCCAGAGAAAUCAAAGACUAGGCAGGAAGUCAUAGCUCCAGAGAGCACACUGUGUUGAUAUCAAAAAUAAGAACCAAAAUCCGUAACCCUAAAGAUAGAAAGAAAGGAUGUUUGGAAAUUGUAAUGCAGAAGAAAGAAAAUCGCACCCAGCACAAAUAUCAGUGGAGACUGCCUUCCUUUUGGAAGGAGCCAAACAUACCCAAGAGCUGGUAGAAUUCCUGCUCAGCCAUGCAGAAGAGGAGAUGCAGUGAGAGGAGACAGAGGGGCAGUGGAGAUGCUAAUGCUAACAGGCAGUGGGAAGAUCAAAAUCAGAUUGCUCUGGGUGGUGAAACAUCUCACAGCAUACCAGCCCAAACUGGAAACUCUCCCAGGCAUAACCCUCACAUCUCAGUGCACCAACCGGGAACAGCUUCAGCUAAGGUGGUUGUGGCCAUUUUUCCUUCUGGGAAUACCAAAGUGAUGUACACAGCACUGAUUUACACUAAGAAAUCACUACCUAAGAAGGGCUUUCUAAUUCUUUCCCAGCAAGCAGUCCACCCCAUCUCUUCUCUCUUCCUGAACUGAAAGAAUCCAAAUGUUUUUCUUUUCUCUGUUUGGAGGGAAAUUGGAUAAGGAAAAAAACACUGUGUCACAGCUAUUAUGUCUAAGCACGUAAGUGCAGAUCAUAGCCUCCUACUUUUCAGGUAGGAUUUGAAGCUUGAAGUUAUACCAUCAACUGUAGCGUAACUCAAGUGCAUUGUGUAAGCAGAGACGUUGGGCUCCAGUGUUGCAGAAGAAAGAUCAGAGCUUCCAGCCCUGUAAAAUAUCAUUUGAUACGCGCACUGAGUAAAUAUCACACCAUGUCUCAGCUGGCUGAGUUGCUAACGUGGAACAUAUUGCACUAAAAGAAGUGACAGCAAAAUACAGACUGCUGGAGACAGGUAGCCUCAUCUGGGUGAUUUCACCAGCUGAAGCAAAAUUAAAUGCGUCCAACCAAAGGAAAAUUCACCGAACAAAGGGAGUUGCCAAACCUUCUGCUGAAGGUAGGUAAGUUUAUUUCUUACUGUUUCCAGGCUUCCAUUGCUUCUCCUUUCAGACUGCAGUACCUGGCAUCUACUAAGUAGGCCAAAGCACAAGCACAGUGCUAAUCCUGAUAAAUGCUGAACGUGUAACAAGGAUAUGCAACAUCUCAUCCUUUACUAACCCUGUUUCAUUUCCAUUUUGUUUCCCCUUUCUUUCCUUCAUUUAUAUCAUCUUGAUUUCUAUCCCAUGGCCCUGUUCAGCUGUUGAAGACUUCUCUCUGUCCUCAAUAGAUUUUUCUGAUGUGGAAGAAUCUUUCAACUGCAGAGCAAAACCUGUGGAUUGCUUUGUUCUAUGGGGAGUUGUUUCUGAUGUGUCACCAGUGUGCUGCUGUAGAGCGAUGUAUCAUCUUUCUGAGAACUCAGAGUGGCAGCACAUACACAUACAAACUAAAACAUUAAUGUCUUCUCACCCGUCUUCUAACAGGCACUGAAAAACUUAGACCUUACACAAGAUUUGAGCACUCACAAGGGCUCAGAGCCUUCAGUAGUGCAAAGCUGGCCUUUUUAAAAAGAAAAUGGUGGGAGAUAGGAUUCCCAGUUGGUGCUCAUAUUCAGAAUUUUAGCUUGAGUUGCAAUCAAAAUGGUUCGACAUGAAAAACAACACGAUCUUGAAGCUACAAACGCCUUAUAUUUAGGUUAAGUGCCAGAAAAGCCAUUCAGGUGGUUGACCAGACAGCUAUGUAUCUUAGCUAAUUAAGGUUCUUAUGCAAGAUUUUGUCUGCUUCCCAGGAUCUUAAAUUGCAACAAUGCUAGUAGAUAUAUCUGUAUUAUAUGAUACAUCACCAUUUUCUGAGCAAUUGGAGUCUAUCAUCAAACAUUAUGUAUGUAUCAGUAUUAAAAAUAGGACAAAGCUUAUUUUUAACAAAGAUUGGCACGUUCCUACCUAAAUGCUAGUGGAGAGACUACUACAAUCUGUAUAUCCAUUUCAGGCAUGAUUCUUCAAAUGACAAUAUCAAGGGGAGCUCCACAGCAGGAACAAAGCCAGAAUAUGCAUUGGAGAUCCCUGCUUUUGAUUAAGAUUCUCUUAGCGGUCCAGAAAGUAACUUUAUCCCUUCUAACUGAAUGAAUCUUUUACAAUAUGAAUAAGUUGAAAUUUAAUAUAAGUGACUUCGAACUUGAGCUAGCCUGAUGAAACAUGAAGCACCUAUCAGUUUAAGAACUCAGAAGGCAUUUCAAUGCAUUCAACUGUACUAAUAAUCUCCAGCACUUCUUGCUGAACACUUCCAGUAGAAGUGCUUCUUGUACAAAUGAAUGAUGCCUUUCAAAAGGUUGAAGGCUUGUUCAAAAUUGCCUUCAAGUGCACGGUAUGAAUUUCUUCUGCUUUUUAGUACAUUGGCUCCCUCUUCUGUUCAUUUGCUGUAAGCAACAAAGCGACCAAUUACACAUGCCAGCACCUAAAGUGAUUGAUUUUGGGAAGCGAUAUCCAAAGGCUCACAAGAAAAGAUUAUUUCCAGGUAUCCUCAUGGAUUUUUCAGAAAAUUCAAAAAAGACAUUGAAAUUAAAAGCACCAGGGGUAAAAGCACCAGGCUCUUGAGGCAACCAGUUACACAGAGGUGACACCAAUGAGAUACUUUGAAUUUGCCAGACAUAGUGCAUUUUUCCUGUUUGUCUGGAAGCACUACAUAUCAGGUAAAGCAGAGCCAAAUUACUGCUCAGCUCUCACACUGCAGCUCGCCUUAAAUGAGUCCUGACACAGUGCAGCUAAAAGCCAUGUAAAAUCCUAGCUGCUUGUUAGCCCUAAUAAAAACUGAGUCAAAGAUCAAUAGAAGUCAAUGGAAGACCAAUUAAUAACCGUCAGACAUGUUAAAAGAAAUUGCCAUCAGUCACAAGUGACUGAGGUCAGUAAAUUUCUGUAGGGUACCAUAAGGAUGAGAACACUCUUCAGUGUUUCUGUUCAACAGAUUUUGGGUGCUUAUGACCCAAAGACCAUCAGUGUGGUGAGAUGAGGGCAACGCAGUCUGACAGAUAAAAGCAUGUUUCAAGAUAACGAGGUGGGAAAAAAACAUAUCCAUAAAGUGUGUGAUUCUGAUAAUAUGAAAGCAGGGGUUCACAUCGCCUCAUCAAACAAACACAGGCCCACAGCAGAAAGCUGCAGCAAAUACUGUUAAUGAGAUGUAGAACACCUUGUGUUUUGAUUUCUGAUCUCCGCUGCCAGGUCAAUUUUUAUGUAAGACUGUUUAAAAUUAAAUCCAUAAACCAUCUGUAAAGCACACAACUUCUUCCUUGCUCCGAGGUAUGUGUUUUGAACACUGUGCUAGUUAAGACCCCACUGCUUGUUUUCUUUCCAGUUCUGCUUUUCCAUGAAGACAGCAGCAAAAGAAGCAGAGAACACUUUUGUUCCGGCACGUGUUCACCUUGGUGAUCAAAACUGCAUUCUAGCAAUUUAAGGAUGUCAGUUCUCAUCCUGUCACCAGUGCAAAUGUAAUCCAAGUCUCCCACUUCUGGUGAAACCCCUAAGAAAUUAUUUGAAAAGCAACCAUUAUAUUUUCUCUGUUUCAGAGCGAAGUAACUGUGGAAAAGAAAUCCAUGCAGGUACUUACAAGCAAGCAGGGAAUCACAAAUAGAUUGAUGUAGCCACCUGCAGUCCUGAUUCAGCCAUGUCAGCACUGGAAAAGGACACGACUGCAUCCAGGUUCUCAGAGUUAACGUUCUUGCUAGCCCUGGGCUGCUCUCCUCUCAAAAUAACCUGUUUUCAGGGUAUCAAACUGCCCAACUCAUCCUAUUUGCAGCAACACAAAGAAUUCUGAUGGUUUUGGUCACAGAAGGGUUUUCUGGAUGCAUUUUAAAGGCAAAUGACCAGGCUCAAUAGAAGUUAACGCGUGCACUUUAAUGACCUCUGAUAUAUAUAAUAAAACUAGAAUAUCUGAUAAUUCCUUUACAAGUUCAAUCUCCUUUCCUCUCCUUAAGAGAAGCCUAUCAGAUCACAUUUGUUUUGGACAACUGAUAUUGUAUUUUGUAACAAAAAAAAAACCCAAAAUCUUCAGCCAUAGCGUCCAUGUACAAUGGUGUGAAUUGCUGCUACAAAUGAACAUUUCCCAAGUGCAGCAGUUUGCAGUGAGAUCACGUGAAUUGUCACUCUCAAAUGGAGCUUCUCUAUCAAUAAAUUUCACCAGGAUCCAUAACUAAUAACUUCAUGAUUUCAAAAUUCUCCUGUUUCAGUCUGGUUUGGAAAAGAAAUACUUUGAAAAGGUGUAUGUUUAAUGGCAUAGCCCCAUCAAGCUCCCAUCCUUAUGGGAUUGUGCAAUGUUUGCUGCCUUGAUUCCUCAAUUUCUAACCAUAGAUUACUGAAAUACCACGUUUUUAGACUGAAAAUGCUACACUUGCUAGUUCAUAAUCUUUCUGUUCAGUAAAACUUGAAACCAAAGAACAAAACAUUGAUUUUUACAGUCAAUCUUAAUUCCUUCCCUAGUUACAUCCCCUUCCACAAACAAAUCGAAAACCUAACAAAGAAACCAACAAAGAAGUACCACCCGGGUACUUGCAUUCAUACUAACCUCAAUAAGUGACAACUUUACAUGCUUCCAUUUCAAUAUUCUGCCUACCCAGCCUAGCUUUGCUGCUUCUAGUUCAAAAUACUUCCUAACUCUGCCACACUUCCAAGUACCUUUCACACAAUCUCUAUUAGCACUUACUUUUUUCACGCUGAGUUUUUGCUCAUCCUGUAGUGACAUAAAGCCCAUAUGACCCCACCAUUUCGGUUUCAGACACAUACAGCCAACAGGACUUUGAAUUCUUUUAAUGUACAAGAUUGAUCACUCUAAGUUGUGCCUUACUGUUGAUACACAGUAAAUACAUUCAUCUGAACAGUUUGCUUAGCAUGAAAAAAACACUAAACAAUUAAAACACUAAAAUAUUACUCAACACUGUUAAUGACACACGCUAUAGCCAGGCACAGAAGAAGACUGUUUCCCAUUAGUCUACCAGUGCAUUCAUUGCUGUGCGUCUCCAUCAGCAGCUGUGUGUAACAGUAGGUUUUAGGUGAAUGCUACUGCUGAAAUAAGAUUUAUCAGCUCUCAUCUUGGCUUUUAGUAGUUACCUUUCCAGAAGAAGUGUUUCUUCUUUCAUUCAUUAUACUACAAACGUUUGCCCUCCGGAGAUGUACUGAACAGAGAGUUUCAAUAACAUUCAAGAAGACUUAAAGAUGAUGCUGGAGAAUUCUAGUCUACUGGUGCAUGCAACUGU